rnacentral:lncRNA from 1 species
GCACCCGGAAAACAUCUGGCUACAAAUGCCUUUCCCAAGAGUGCACCCUCUACUGGAGAAAUGAAGAAACCUUAGCAUUACAGGCUUGAUACUGUGGCACUCCAUGAAAUUAGAUGUUAUCAAAAGUCCACCAAAUUUCUGAUUUGCAAACUUUCAUUCCAGUACCUGAUAUUAGAAAUUGCUUAGGACUUCAAAACAGAUUUGUGUUGCCAGAGCACAGCUAUUGGAAGCAAGUGAGGUCUAUUGUAGGAAGCAAGUGUGGUCUAUCAUGUGGGACUUGCCCAAAGUAUAACAGUUAUGACUAAAGACAUCCAGCUAGCAUGCUACAUAGAUUGAGAA